GGCCGCUUGGCCCAAUGGUUAAGGCGUCUGACUACGACUGAACGCGUUGUGAUGUGUUUGGUAUUCAGGUGAUCAGGAGAUUCUGGGUUCGACUCCCAGGGUGGCCU